rnacentral:rRNA from 1 species
UACGUAGGGUGCGAGCGUUGUCCGGAAUUAUUGGGCGUAAAGAGCUUGUAGGCGGUCUGUCGCGUCUGCUGUGAAAAUCCGGGGCUCAACCCCGGACUUGCAGUGGGUACGGGCAGACUAGAGUGUGGUAGGGGAGAUUGGAAUUCCUGGUGUAGCGGUGGAAUGCGCAGAUAUCAGGAGGAACACCGAUGGCGAAGGCAGAUCUCUGGGCCGUAACUGACGCUGAGGAGCGAAAGCGUGGGGAGCGAACAGG